rnacentral:rRNA from 1 species
GUCUUCCUACGGGAGGCAGCAGUGGGGAAUAUUGCACAAUGGGGGAAACCCUGAUGCAGCGACGCCGCGUGAGUGAAGAAGUAUUUCGGUAUGGAAAGCUCUAUCAGCAGGGAAGAAGUUGACGGUACCUGAGUAAGAAGCCCCGGCUAACUACGUGCCAGCAGCCGCGGUAAUACGUAGGGGGCAAGCGUUAUCCGGAUUUAUUGGGUUUAAAGGGGGCGUAGGCGGAAUAUAAAGUCAGCGGUAAAAAUUCGGGGCUCAACCCCGUCGUGCCGGUGA